UAGUUUUCACAAUAUUUUAUUUAAUUUCAUUGUUAUACGAAUUGUGAAUGAGAUUCAUCAAUGGAAGGGACAGUUAACAUGAACAGUUACAAAAAGACUAGUUUAAAAAAAAUGAACAAUCAGAUUUAUACGUGUGUCGAUGAAGUAGACUGUAAUAGAACAAAAACAUUUAUUUGAUAGUUUUGCUACUUUUCUAAGCUAAUGAUGGUGAAAAAUAAAUUUGACUAAUAAUAUACAAAUUAAUUAUUUUAGUGAAAAAACAAACAAAAAC